ACUAAGCAAGUCACGCAUGUUUUUUCUUUGUUUCUCAGUGAAUAUAAGAAAACACUUGCUGUAAUUGGAAAGCCCCGAGAAGGUUGAGAGCACUUUUGUUUUCUUCAUCUCUGCGUCCUUAUUUCUUGGAACACUACCUGGCAAACCAUGGGUGCACCAUGCAGCAAGUUAAGGUCGCCGAAGUAGAAUUGCGUAUUAAGCCAGUGUCUCCAUCCAGACUUUUUUUUAGCAAGCAUACCUUAGGAAACUGAACUUCGCUUGAAACUGAAACUACCCUCCCAAAAUCAUCUCCAAGGU
rnacentral:lncRNA from 1 species